rnacentral:rRNA from 1 species
GAUGAACGCUGGCUACAGGCUUAACACAUGCAAGUCGAGGGGAAACGGCAUUGAGUGCUUGCACUGAAUGGACGUCGACCGGCGCACGGGUGAGUAACGCGUAUCCAACCUUCCCGUUACUGCGGGAUAACCUGCCGAAAGUCAGACUAAUACCGCAUGUUCUUCGAUGACGGCAUCAGAUUCGAAGCAAAGAUCCGUCGGUAACGGAGGGGGAUGCGUCUGAUUAGCUAGUUGGCGGGGCGACGGCCCACCAAGGCGACGAUCAGUAGGGGUUCUGAGAGGAAGGUCCCCCACAUUGGAACUGAGACACGGUCCAAACUCCUACGGGAGGCAGCAGUGAGGAAUAUUGGUCAAUGGGCGGAAGCCUGAACCAGCCAAGUAGCGUGCAGGAUGACGGCCCUACGGGUUGUAAACUGCUUUUAUGCGGGGAUAAAGUGAGGGACGCGUCCCUUUUUGCAGGUACCGCAUGAAUAAGGACCGGCUAAUUCCGUG